CCUGCGGGGUUGGGUGUAACUCCCGACCGGCGGUACAGCCCGCGAACCUCUGUUUCGGCAGAGGCCGAUCCGGUGAAAUUCCGGAGCCGACGGUAAAAGUCCGGAUGAGAGCAGGUG
rnacentral:ncRNA from 1 species